rnacentral:rRNA from 1 species
UACGUAGGUGGCAAGCGUUGUCCGGAAUUAUUGGGCGUAAAGCGCGCGCAGGCGGUCCUUUAAGUCUGAUGUGAAAGCCCACGGCUCAACCGUGGAGGGUCAUUGGAAACUGGGGGACUUGAGUACAGAAGAGAAGAGUGGAAUUCCACGUGUAGCGGUGAAAUGCGUAGAGAUGUGGAGGAACACCAGUGGCGAAGGCGACUCUUUGGUCUGUAACUGACACUGAUGAACGAAAGCGUGGGGAGCAAACAGG